rnacentral:lncRNA from 1 species
AUAGAUAGAUUAAUUAAACAAAUAAUUUUAAAUAAUUCGUAACCAAAUAUCCUUACGAAUGACAGUAGAGAAAAAAAAAAUUACGAAGUAAAAAUUAUAUCUAUACUAAUAAAUUCUUUCGCAAAGAAUAAUUUCAAAGCAACCGCCAAUCAUUUCGUUUUUACUUUGGUCAUCUAUACCGAUUUUUUCGCAACCAAUCAUUUCAAAUAAUUCGCAACAGAUUAUUGCGUAUUUCGCAACCAAUAAUUUUAAAUAAUUUAUUAAACAAAUAAUUUUAAAUAAUUCGUAACCAAAUAUCCAUAUUUGAGUUUGACACGUGGCAAACAUAUGAAAGCCACGUGUCAGCUUCUCACAUAGGGUUCAUUAAGGGUUCUACUUUUAUAUAUAGUAAUAGAUAGAUUAAUUAAACAAAUAAUUUUAAAUAAUUCGUAACCAAAUAUCCUUACGAAUGACAGUAGAGAAAAAAAAAAUUACGAAGUAAAAAUUAUAUCUAUACUAAUAAAUUCUUUCGCAAAGAAUAAUUUCAAAGCAACCGCCAAUCAUUUCGUUUUUACUUUGGUCAUCUAUACCGAUUUUUUCGCAACCAAUCAUUUCAAAUAAUUCGCAACAGAUUAUUGCGUAUUUCGCAACCAAUAAUUUUAAAUAAUUAAUUAAACAAAUAAUUUUAAAUAAUUCGUAACCAAAUAUCAUAUUUGAGUUUGACACGUGGCAAACAUAUAGAAAGCCACGUGUCAGCUUUCGCAACCAAUCAUUUCAAAUAAUUCGCAACAGAUAAUUGCGUAUUUCGCAACCAAUAAUUUUAAAUAAUUAAUUAAACAAAUAAUACGUGGCAAACAUAUAGAAAGCCACGUGUCAGCUUCUCACAUAGGGUUCAUUAAGGGUUCUACUUUUAUAUAUAGUAAUAGAUAGACGUGUCAGCUUCUCACAUAGGGUUCAUUAAGGGUUCUACUUUUAUAUAUAGUAAUAAAUUUUUCUAAAUUAGAGAGUUAUUUUUUAUAUUAAUAUUUUUAGAAAGAUAUUUAUGUAAUUUAAGUUUGGAGGAAGAUAGUGCGUGUGAAAUUAAUCUUUAUAUUUACUUAUGUAUU